GACAGAGGGUGCAAACGUUGUUCGGAAUUACUGGGCGUAAAGCGCGUGUAGGCGGCUAAGUAAGUCGGGCGUGAAAUCCCACGGCUCAACCGUGGAAGUGCACUCGAAACUGCAUAGCUAGAGUCCUGGAGAGGAAGGUGGAAUGCUUGGUGUAGAGGUGAAAUUCGUAGAUAUUGGGAAGAACACCGGUGGCGAAGGCGGCGACCUGGUCCUUUUACUGACGCUGAGGCGCGAAAGCGUGGGGAGCAAACAGG
rnacentral:rRNA from 1 species